CCCUUAGACGUUCUGGGCCGCACGCGCGCUACACUGACCAGUGCAACAAGCAUCCGUCCUUGGCCGACAGGCCCGGGCAAUCUUUGAACGCUGGUCGUGAUGGGGAUAGACUUUUGCAAUUUUUGGUCUUCAACGAGGAAUUCCUAGUAAACGCAAGUCAUCAACUUGCAUUGAUUACGUCCCUGCCCUUUGUACACACCGCCCGUCGCACCUACCGAUUGAGUGAUCCGGUGAAUAAUUCGGACUGCAGCACUGCUUGGUCUCCAGGCUUUGCAGCGGAAAGUUUAGUGAACCUUAUCACUUAGAGGAAGGAGAAGUCGUANCA
rnacentral:rRNA from 1 species